GACGAACGCUGGCGGCGUGCUUAACACAUGCAAGUCGAACGGUAAGGCCCUUCGGGGUACACGAGUGGCGAACGGGGGAGUAACACGUGGGUGAUCUGACCUGCACUUUGGGAUAAGCCUGGGAAACUGGGUCUAAUACCGGAUAGGACCAUGGCAUGCAUGUGCUGUGGUGGAAGGCUUUUGCGGUGUGGGUUGGGCCCGCGGCCUAUCAGCUUGUUGGUGGGGUGAUGGCCUACCAAGGCGACGACGGGUAGCCGGCCUGAGAGGGUGUCCGGCCACACUGGGACUGAGAGACGGCCCAGACUCCUACGGGAGGCAGCAGUGGGGAAUAUUGCACAAUGGGCGCAAGCCUGAUGCAGCGACGCCGCGUGGGGGAUGACGGCCUUCGGGUUGUAAACCUCUUUCAAUAGCGACGAAGCGCAAGUGACGGUACCUAUAGAAGAAGCACCGGCCAACUACGUGCCAGCCGCCGCAGUAA
rnacentral:rRNA from 1 species